GACGAACGCUGGCGGCGUGCCUAAUACAUGCAAGUUGAGCGAUGAAGAUUGGUGCUUGCACCAAUUUGAAGAGCAGCGAACGGGUGAGUAACGCGUGGGGAAUCUGCCUUUGAGCGGGGGACAACAUUUGGAAACGAAUGCUAAUACCGCAUAACAACUUUAAACAUAAGUUUUAAGUUUGAAAGAUGCAAUUGCAUCACUCAAAGAUGAUCCCGCGUUGUAUUAGCUAGUUGGUGAGGUAAAGGCUCACCAAGGCGAUGAUACAUAGCCGACCUGAGAGGGUGAUCGGCCACAUUGGGACUGAGACACGGCCCAAACUCCUACGGGAGGCAGCAGUAGGGAAUCUUCGGCAAUGGUCGAAAGUCUGACCGAGCAACGCCGCGUGAGUGAAGAAGGUUUUCGGAUCGUAAAACUCUGUUGGUAGAGAAGAACGUUGGUGAGAGUGGAAAGCUCAUCAAGUGACGGUAACUACCCAGAAAGGGACGGCCAACUACGUG
rnacentral:rRNA from 1 species